AUUUAUCAACCACAAAUGUAUUAGGUGGAUCAACAUUGAAGGUGGUCCACCAUAUACUACAAUAUAUUUUUUAAUUUUAACCAUUGGAUCUUUUGAAAGAGAAACAACCAUUAGAUUUUGCAUGUCCACAUAAUCUAACAGUGCACCAUCACCAACUAAGUUUUGUUUCUAUUUCUUCAUCUUCUUCGCUCAACUCCUUCAUCUUCAUCAUCAUCUUCAUGAUAUUCAUAAAAAAGCCUGAAUUUUUUCGUCAAAAUCCAGAAUUUCAUUAUUGAAUUACAAAAGGUUGGAUUUUUGUUCAUCUUAAUUAUUCUUCAUCUUCAUCUCUCUCUCUUUCUCUGGUACAACAAUUAAAAAGGGGCAAAAUAACCCUAGUUCAUUCAAAAGCAAUAUCAUGGAAAAAAUUAAACAACAAGAACACCACCA
rnacentral:lncRNA from 1 species